rnacentral:rRNA from 1 species
GACGAACGCUGGCGGCGUGCUUAACACAUGCAAGUCGAACGGAAAGGCCCUGCUUUUGUGGGGUGCUCGAGUGGCGAACGGGUGAGUAACACGUGAGUAACCUGCCCUUGACUUUGGGAUAACUUCAGGAAACUGGGGCUAAUACCGGAUAGGAGCUCCUGCUGCAUGGUGGGGGUUGGAAAGUUUCGGCGGUUGGGGAUGGACUCGCGGCUUAUCAGCUUGUUGGUGGGGUAGUGGCUUACCAAGGCUUUGACGGGUAGCCGGCCUGAGAGGGUGACCGGCCACAUUGGGACUGAGAUACGGCCCAGACUCCUAUGGGAGGCAGCAGUGGGGAAUAUUGCACAAUGGGCGGAAGCCUGAUGCAGCAACGCCGCGUGCGGGAUGACGGCCUUCGGGUUGUAAACCGCUUUCGCCUGUGACGAAGCGUGAGUGACGGUAAUGGGUAAAGAAGCACCGGCUAGCUACGUG